rnacentral:rRNA from 1 species
AGCGAACGCUGGCGGCAGGCCUAACACAUGCAAGUCGAACGAAGUCUUCGGACUUAGUGGCGGACGGGUGAGUAACACGUGGGAACGUGCCUUUAGGUUCGGAAUAACUCAGGGAAACUUGUGCUAAUACCGCAUGUGCCCUUCGGGGGAAAGAUUUAUCGCCUUUAGAGCGGCCCGCGUCUGAUUAGCUAGUUGGUGAGGUAAAGGCUCACCAAGGCGACGAUCAGUAGCUGGUCUGAGAGGAUGAUCAGCCACAUUGGGACUGAGACACGGCCCAAACUCCUACGGGAGGCAGCAGUGGGGAAUCUUGCGCAAUGGGCGAAAGCCUGACGCAGCCAUGCCGCGUGAAUGAUGAAGGUCUUAGGAUUGUAAAAUUCUUUCACCGGGGACGAUAAUGACGGUACCCGGAGAAGAAGCCCCGGCUAACAUCGUGCCAGCCGCCGCGGUAACAC